rnacentral:tRNA from 1 species
GCCUGGGCAGCUCAGUCAGUAGAGUAUCAGACUUUUAAUCUGAGAAUCCAGGGUUCAAGUCCCUGUUCAGGUG